CACGUAGGAGGCGAGCGUUAUCCGGAUUCACUGGGCGUAAAGCGCGUGCAGGCGGUUUGGUAAGUUGGGCGUGAAAGCUCCCGGCUCAACUGGGAGAGGUCGUUCAAUACUACCAGACUAGAGAGUAGAAGAGGAAGAUGGAAUUCCCGGUGUAGUGGUGAAAUGCGUAGAUAUCGGGAGGAACACCAGUGGCGAAGGCGAUCUUCUGGUCUAUUUCUGACGCUCAGACGCGACAGCUAGGGUAGUAAACGGG
rnacentral:rRNA from 1 species